rnacentral:lncRNA from 1 species
AAUCCUAAAACAAAACAAAAUCAUACGUGUUUCUUGAUGGUGGGAUUUUCUUAUUGAUCAUUUCAGGUCAUCUGAAGACUGAAUAUUCACAGAAACAAAAAAGCAAAGAAAAGUUUCCUGCCUGCUGACUUUACCUGCUGACAGAUUCCAAGGAUGAUGAUUGUACACUGCCUUCCAGAGAAUCCUGCAAGGUAUUCAAAGCCUACGGAUGCUGCUGUAAAUCGGCAGCAAACAGGAGUACCAGGACACCUGCCAGUCAGGAUCAGCAUGAGAGGAUCAGUUAUUGACUCCAAUGAAACCAGGAUUUUCAUCUACUGUCCCAAAGUUUAA